rnacentral:rRNA from 1 species
UACGGAGGGUGCGAGCGUUGUCCGGAAUCACUGGGCGUAAAGGGCGCGUAGGUGGCCCGUGGAAGUCUGCGGUGAAAGCCCGGCGCUCAACGCCGGGUCGGCCGUGGAUACUCUCGGGCUCGAGCUUACUAGAGGCAGAUGGAAUUCCGGGUGUAGCGGUGGAAUGCGUAGAGAUCCGGAAGAACACCGGUGGCGAAGGCGGUCUGCUGGGGUAAUGCUGACACUGAUGCGCGACAGCGUGGGGAGCAAACAGG